rnacentral:rRNA from 1 species
UACGUAGGGUGCGAGCGUUAAUCGGAAUUACUGGGCGUAAAGCGUGCGCAGGCGGCUUUGCAAGACAGAUGUGAAAUCCCCGGGCUCAACCUGGGAACUGCAUUUGUGACUGCAAGGCUAGAGUACGGCAGAGGGGGAUGGAAUUCCGCGUGUAGCAGUGAAAUUCGUAGAUAUGCGGAGGAACACCAAUGGCGAAGGCAAUCCCCUGGGCCUGUACUGACGCUCAUGCACGAAAGCGUGGGGAGCAAACAGG